CCCUUAGAUGUUCUCGGCCGCACACGCGCUACACUGAAAGAGGCAACGUGUUUGCCUGAUUCGAAAGAAUUGGGUAACCCCCUAAUCUCUUUCGUGCUGGGGAUUGAGGUUUGCAAUUAUCCUUCAUGAACGAGGAAUUCCCAGUAAGUGCGAGUCAUUAUCUCGCGCUGACUACGUCCCUGCCCUUUGUACACACCGCCCGUCGCUACUACCGAUUGGAUGAUUUAGUGAGGACUUCGGACUGAGUCCAAUGCGGCUUUCGGGCUGCGUUGGUAUUUCGGAAAGAUGUCCAAACUGUAUCAUUUAGAGGAAGUAAAAGUCGUAACA
rnacentral:rRNA from 1 species